UAAUUUUGAAUUUCUUUUGUAUCUUUUUCCUCACCACUGAGGCACUCAUAUUUUAGUUGUCAAAAUUGUAAAAGCACAUUACAGCACAAGGGGUACCAAAUGCCAAGGGCCUAGGUGCAAGUCUGAGAGGGAUUAGGACUGAGAAGUAGAAUUAUAAUUGUCUCGGCAGCUAAUAGCUCAGUUCUGGUUCUCCGCUGUGCUUUGAGGAGCUGUGAGAAACUGAGAAUAGAGCGGAGGAAAUGCUAGAGAGAAAAGACAAAGAAGCUUAUAACUGGCUGUGAGCUGGUAAUUGCCCGUCUCUGAUAUUUCGAUUUGAUAUGGAGGGAAAGGCCGGAAG
rnacentral:misc_RNA from 1 species